CACGUAGGGCGCAAGCGUUGUCCGGAAUUAUUGGGCGUAAAGAGCUCGUAGGCGGUCCGUCACGUCCGCUGUGAAAACCCAGGGCUCAACCCUGGGCUUGCAGUGGAUACGGGCAGACUAGAGGUAGGUAGGGGAGAAUGGAAUUCCCGGUGUAGCGGUGAAAUGCGCAGAUAUCGGGAGGAACCCCAGAGGCGAAGGCGGUGCCCUGGCUCGCAACUGACGCUCAGACACGACAGCAUGGGGAGCGAACGGG
rnacentral:rRNA from 1 species